AAUAGUCCUGAUAAAGAAAUACCUGCCACUUCCAUUGAAGUGAGAAAUCUGCUGAAAAGGUCAACUCCUUUGUCUUGUUUUUGACUGCAGGUGUUACAUAAAUGUUGUCUAUGAGUGUAGUAGUUUUACUGACAAACAACCUUACGGUAUGAUCAUUUGAACUUGUAACUUAGCCUGUCAUUCCUACAUAGUUAAUUUGUGUUGCAACCAUUGCUUAUUAUAACUGUGCAUCUAAGCGAACAAACAUUGUGUCAUCUUUACAACCACAGACUGCUGCAGUGGAAAUGUCCUGUAGGUGCAGGCCAGGAGGGUAAGCCCACCUCUAAUCAGUAAGGCAGGAAGAGUUUAGGCUGGGAUGGGUUUCCUCCUACCUGCAGUUCACUUUGUUAAUGGAAUGUUAGAAGAGUUUCUCUUGGCUCUGUACGCUGAGGUUUAAGUGAUGACGUAAACUGCCAGCAUGGGGCAAGGGGAGGCUUCCUCCAAGGCAAAGGGUUACGUUUGUUAUUCAACCUGAAAUGCAAUGGGUCUAAUCAAAGCAAGCUUCUUCAUUCGUGGAAAGUCAGCCCCAAGGGUAUGUGACAUUUACCCGGCAUGCAUUUACUGAAGCCUGCUGCUGGGAAUUCCUCCCUGAGAACAAAGUGGCCAGGGGCUGGAGUCUUAAAAACAUGUUACUUGCUGGUACAUAGUAGUAGUUUCAUAGAAGAAAAAAAGCUGCAGGAUUUUCCCACUGCAGUUCUACCUGUCAAUAAAAUUGCUUCAUCUGACUUUAACGGUGCUCUGUUUCUGGCUGCUUGAUAGCCACAUAAAGAGGUGAAAAAGGGAAGAAAGUAGUUGAGGUUUCAGAAGUGCACUGUUGCCAAAUAAAGGGUUAUGCUAUGAUUCCCAGAG